rnacentral:rRNA from 1 species
GAUGAACGCUGGCGGCGUGCUUAACACAUGCAAGUCGAACGAAGCACUUUAUUUGAUUUCCUUCGGGACUGAUUAUUUUGUGACUGAGUGGCGGACGGGUGAGUAACGCGUGGGUAACCUGCCUUGUACAGGGGGAUAACAGUUGGAAACGGCUGCUAAUACCGCAUAAGCGCACAGCAUCGCAUGAUGCAGUGUGAAAAACUCCGGUGGUAUAAGAUGGACCCGCGUUGGAUUAGCUAGUUGGUGAGGUAACGGCCCACCAAGGCGACGAUCCAUAGCCGACCUGAGAGGGUGACCGGCCACCUUGGGACUGAGACACGGCCCAAACUCCUACGGGAGGCAGCAGUGGGGAAUAUUGCACAAUGGGCGAAAGCCUGAUGCAGCGACGCCGCGUGAGCGAAGAAGUAUUUCGAUAUGUAAAGCUCUAUCAGCAGGGAAGAUAAUGACGGUACCUGACUAAGAAGCACCGGCUAAAUACGUG